AGGAUUCUAGAAUACUUAGCAAUUAUUAUUUAAAGUUAGGGUUUAUAUUAGUAAUUUUUAUUUUAUAUAAUAUAAUUAGGGCUAGCAAUUUUGACUAGUUUGUGUAAUUAGUGUGACAUCUACAGUUGAAAACUUGAUACUAUUUGGAUUAUUAGGUGUACUAAGUGUAUGCAAAAAAAUUGUGAUAAUCUAAUAGUGUAGUAUAGAGAUAUCUAGUUUUUAGCACAAGAGGGUUUCAAAAGGUAGUAGUUUGAGGUUGGAUAGGAUUUCUAUGAUAUCUGAAGCUCUAUUAGUCGGAUUAAGGUGAAAAUUGGCAUAGUGUUGAAAGACUUAAAGAUCAAGCUACACACAAAUUUUAAAACAAAGUUAACAGUUGAAAAGGAAGAAAAUAUUGCUGGGAUUUCUCCUUCACUUUUUAAGUUGGCAACCAAGUGACAUCAAUGCAAUUUUUGAAAUUUUUCUCACAAUUUUAAAGUUGGAUUGGACUAAAAAUUCUUCAACAUAUAGAAGACUUAUAUUAAAAAUUGCAUGAAAAUUUCCACAUGAAGUGCAAAGUUGGAUUGGAUGUUAUAGCUUGUUAAAGCUCACUAAUUAGGUUUGGAGGUUACAAGAAAAAUCUAAAUUACUUAA
rnacentral:lncRNA from 1 species